rnacentral:rRNA from 1 species
AGAGUUUGAUCCUGGCUCAGAGCGAACGCUGGCGGCAGGCUUAACACAUGCAAGUCGAGCGGGCGUAGCAAUACGUCAGCGGCAGACGGGUGAGUAACGCGUGGGAACAUACCUUUUGGUUCGGAACAACCCAGGGAAACUUGGGCUAAUACCGGAUAAGCCCUUACGGGGAAAGAUUUAUCGCCGAAAGAUUGGCCCGCGUCUGAUUAGCUAGUUGGUGAGGUAACGGCUCACCAAGGCGACGAUCAGUAGCUGGUCUGAGAGGAUGAUCAGCCACAUUGGGACUGAGACACGGCCCAAACUCCUACGGGAGGCAGCAGUGGGGAAUAUUGGACAAUGGGCGCAAGCCUGAUCCAGCCAUGCCGCGUGAGUGAUGAAGGCCCUAGGGUUGUAAAGCUCUUUUGUGCGGGAAGAUAAUGACGGUACCGCAAGAAUAAGCCCCGGCUAACUUCGUGCCAGCAGCCGCGGUAAUACA